UACGGAGGGUGCAAGCGUUGCUCGGAAUUAUUGGGCGUAAAGGGUAGGUAGGUGGUCUCGUUUGUCUGGGGUGAAAGCCUUGAGCUUAACUCAAGAAGUGCCCCAGAAACGGCGAGACUAGAGUCCUGGAGAGGGUCGUGGAAUUGCCGGUGUAGUGGUGAAAUGCGUAGAGAUCGGCAGGAACACCCAGGGGGAAACCAGUCGACUGGGCAUCUACUGACGCUGAGGUGCGAGAGCGUGGGGAGCGAACCGG
rnacentral:rRNA from 1 species